CAAGUACUCCCUCCGUCCGAAAUUACUUGUCAUCAAAAUGGAUGUGUCUAGAACUAAAAUACAUCUAGAUACAUCCAUUUCAAUGACAAGUAUUUUCGGAUGGAUGGAGUACAAG
rnacentral:pre_miRNA from 1 species